UGAAAGAGCUCACGAAAAAAUAAUUAAUAAUAUGGCAACUAUUUGAAAUUAAAAACAAUGCAAAAACUGGAAAUCCAAAAGUAGGAAAGAUCGUGCAACAUGAAUUCCUAUUCUUCCAUACACAGAGGUUUCCCUUGAGAAAAGCACUAAAAAAAAUAAUCCAAUUAGCAUGUCAAUUAGCGUACUCUCGUGAACGGCCCUAUAUUGAAUAUUAUGACAUCAAAACAAUCGCAAAAAUUAAACUGAAAUGCAAAUUUUCAUUUUAUUUUCGUCUGUGUCGACGUCAUAAAUAUAAAGUUGUGAACUUGUAUACUUUUUGUCAAAAUUCCAACUAAAUUAUAAAGCAAAACUAUAUAUAAACCCGGGCAAACGCACGAGAGUCCAACUCCGUGGAGUGUUUAAGCCUCGUUCGUUCGCGAUUCGAGGACCGUCGCACUCGCAGGGGCAUCAUCGUCUUCCGUCUCAGUUAGCCAGUCAAUUCUCUUUCGCUUUACGAGAGCGCGAGAGACGCUCGGACAAGAAGCUCCUCGACCUCGCUUCCCUUCGCCAUGAUGAUCAUCUCCUCUCUCUUUCUCUCUCUCCAUGACUACUCGAGUCGUCGAGCUUCUUUAUUGCAAGGGAUUAUUUGAAGACGGCGAUCCCUUCGCAGCUCAUGUCGGAGAGAGGCUCCAAUCUCGUCGUCAUCAACCCUGGUUCUCCUCCCACCUGCUCGACCUUUAUAGGUUCUGCGAACAUCGGAGUGGUUCUCGCUCAGCAGGAUGCGCCUUUCGUCGUCUCUUAUUGCAUCGCCCGCUACACCAGCCAGCUCCCCAAGCGAAACAUGCAAGAUCAGAUGCUCAAUUCUCAAGUUACGAUGGCGCAACACAUGGCGCGAGAGAAGGCUCAUGAUAUUGUGAAUUGACUUCUGCUGUUUGUCCUUAGUUUUGACAGUGUAAAUCGCCUUUGAAAUUUUUAAAUUUUCUCAGUAUUAACAUAUGGGUUAGUGUAUCUCAGAUAGCAUCGUUGUUGAAGAUUCCGUCCUUGGAUGAGGAGGUCACGAACAGAAGCUCUUUCCAGCGCAAAGUUUGCAAGCUUUUUUGAAAAAAUUGUUGGACCUAGUUCUUCAUCGCCCGAGUUAAGCUGCUUUCUCGCUUCCACCUAAUCUUUAAAAUGAUAUGGCAGACUUAGAGGAGGCCUUUUUUCUGUGAACUUCAAUGGUUUCAUCGUCCAAUUAUCUUAUUAUUCUGUCAUUUGAGUCGGCUACCCGAAGUUUCGGUAUUUUAAGGCUGAGUGUUUUCUUGUUAUUCAUAUGGUAUUCAAGAUAAUGAAUUGUUUUCAUUUUUAUGGGCAUAUUUUCCUCUGAGGAAGUUUUGUUUCUUUGAUGGUUAGUAAGGACUUGAAAGAUUUUGAUGACUUUUUCUUGAUAAUUUACAUAUUUCUCCUCUUGUUC